ensembl:lncRNA
UUUUUUUAAUAAAUUCUACUACAUUAGAUCCUUUAUCAGCCUUCUUUGGUUUUAAUCACACUUCUGGGCAGGAAUCCUCUCCCCAUCUUUCUCUUUGACACACAUGCAACCACAUGCUUUCAUACCCAUAAAUGUCUAUGUGUUACUUUUUGACCUCUUGCAAUUUUUAUAUUUUCAGGGGGAAGGCUGGAAGAAAUAGAGUGCAGGAUCUAAAGAAAAGAUAGCUCAAUUACAGCUGUUCUUUUUUUCCAUCUCUUAUUUCCAGAGAGAGCAAUCUAUUUCAAAAAUUGACUAGGGAAGAUGUUUCCAUCCAUAGGAAAGACAUUGCAAUGGACACCUGGAAAUUUGAAAAUGUACUUUGACUUCAGAUUUUGAACAUUCAGCCCAACUUCAAAACAUUAGGGCUCAAAACCGUUAUUCACUGUGUGCUGACUGACCUCUCCCAUUCCCAGGCUCAACAACUUAUUCUAGUGCUUUGGUUUGUGUUAAUUCCCCAUCUAAAUAUUUCAGCAAGGAAGAACACCGGGGAGAUCAAUGAGAUUUUCCAAAAAAUUGGGAAUAGCAAAUAUUUUCUGGUAGCUCCUCCCAUCAAACACCCUGCUGUGCAACUGGGAAUGCUUCAUCCUCAUUUCUUCUGCCAAUAAGCUGCACCCGGAGGUAUGCAGAUCAAUACUAUUGCUUGAUGUACAUGAAAAGGUGAAUAAAUCAAGAGAAACAUGAAGCAAACAGGAAAGGAAUAUCUCUUUUCCUAGGAACAUUGUGAUGUGUGUUUCUUAUCCCAGCAAAGUCAGAGGGAAAAUAAAUGAAGGCACAGAAGUCUCCUAUGAGCCAGUGAUGCUCCAGAGUGGCUCAGAACCAGGAUCACUCGAUGACAGAGAAAUCUGCCCUACUUGUCCCAGUUACCUCUCACUUGCCCAGGUCUCCACAGUGCUGAAGCAUGCCUCUUGCCUGAAAUUCUGUUCCUCUUGUCCUGAGCUGAACCAAACAGUGUUUCUCCUGUCACAGUUUUCUUGCUCUGUCUUGCUAGCUUUUUAAAAUUCUUUCUCCUUUGCUUACGCUUUACCAGUGUAGAUGGCUCUUAUUGUAGAUCGAUGUCUUCCUUUUCAUGUCUCCUGACACCUAGUUGUCCUGCUUGCAGGUUGGCAACUUGCAGGGUUUUGAUGCUUGCUCUUUUCUCAUCCUUGUUCCAUCUCUUGGAGUCAUUCAAGACCACAGUUACAGCCAUGCAUCAGCUCACACCAUCUGCCUUUUGUUCUCCACAUGCAGUCACUCUUCCUCUCAGACCUCUCUCUUUCUGCCAUUUCCUUUGCUCCCAUUUUUUCUUCAUUUCCUAUUAAACAUUUUUUGUUUGUUUGUUUACCUCAGUCUCUUCUGUGUUCUUGUGUUAUUGAGUGUAUGGCAUCACUGCAAAGACAAUAUGCAGUCAAUAUAUGGGUCCCUCACCCAAAAAUCCUGGGCUAAUUGAUCUGAAAGGUAGAUUGCAUCCUUACUCUGUAUAGCUUCUCAAGCCAUGCAGAGGUUCAUUCUUCCUGUGGCUAUCCAGACAAGCUACUGCAACUCAGUUUUUGCCUUACG